AUAGCGUAUAUUAAAGUUGUUGCAGUUAAAAAGCUCGUAGUUGAACUUCGGACCUGGUACGGUGGUCCGCCUUACGGUGUGUACUGCUGGACCGGGUUCUACCUCUUGGUGAGCCGGCAUGCCCUUCACUGGGUGUGUCGGGGAACCAGGACUUUUACCUUGAGAAAAUUAGAGUGUUCAAAGCAGGCCUACGCCUGAAUACAUUAGCAUGGCAUAAUAAAAUAGGACGUGCGGUUCUAUUUUGUUGGUUUCUAGAGUCGCCGUAAUGAUUAAUAGGGAUAGUUGGGGGCAUUUGUAUUCCGUUGCUAGAGGUGAAAUUCUUGGAUUUACGGAAGACAAACUUCUG
rnacentral:rRNA from 1 species